rnacentral:rRNA from 1 species
AUUGAACGCUGGCGGUAGGCCUAACACAUGCAAGUCGAACGAGUGGCGGACGGGUGUGUAAUGCUUGGGAAUCUCGCUUAUGGAGGGGGAUAACUACGGGACACUGUAGCUUAUACCGCGUACCACAGGAUGCGCCCAUGUGGGUUUAGGUAGUUGGUGAGGUAAAGGCUCACCAAGCCGACGAUCUCUAUCUGGUCUGAGAGGAUGAACAGCCACACUGGAACUGAGACACGGCCCAGACUCCUACGGGAGGCAGCAGUGGGGAAUAUUGCGCAAUGGGGGCAACCUGACGCAGCCAUGCCGCGUGAAUGAAGAAGGCCUUCGGAUUGUAAAGUUCUUUCGGUAGCGAGGCGUUAACUACAGAAGAAGCACCGGCUAACUACGUGCCAGCAGCCGCGGUAAUUC